CACACGAGCCGCAAUCCUCAUUUAUUGCACAAUAAAUGAGGAUUGCGGCUCGUGUGCA
ensembl:miRNA oni-mir-10667-2 oni-mir-10667-2